rnacentral:rRNA from 1 species
GUAACAGGAAGCAGCUUGCUGCUUCGCUGACGAGUGGCGGACGGGUGAGUAAUGUCUGGGAAACUGCCUGAUGGAGGGGGAUAACUACUGGAAACGGUAGCUAAUACCGCAUAACGUCGCAAGACCAAAGAGGGGGACCUUCGGGCCUCUUGCCAUCGGAUGUGCCCAGAUGGGAUUAGCUAGUAGGUGGGGUAACGGCUCACCUAGGCGACGAUCCCUAGCUGGUCUGAGAGGAUGACCAGCCACACUGGAACUGAGACACGGUCCAGACUCCUACGGGAGGCAGCAGUGGGGAAUAUUGCACAAUGGGCGCAAGCCUGAUGCAGCCAUGCCGCGUGUAUGAAGAAGGCCUUCGGGUUGUAAAGUACUUUCAGCGGGGAGGAAGGCGAUGAGGUUAAUAACCUUAGCAAUUGACGUUACCC